GAGCUUCUGAGUUUACAUAAUAAAAGGUUCUUAAGGCUUCGUUUGGUUCGGAUAUAAACAAAAAUUAGUUAUACCGGGGAUAGGUAUAAGUAUGGAUUUUCGUAAAAACAAGAAUAUUUUUUUGUUUGGAUGAAAAUGUGAGUAUAAGGUGGAAUAGUUGGUAGUUAUAAAUAGAAAAUAAUAAUAUUACCCCUAUAAUUGAAUUAAAAUUUUUUAACUGAAAAUUUUAAAUUAAAAAUUUUAACUUUUACAUUUUAAAUUUUGAAAUUAAAUUUAAAAUUUUAAUUUUCAAAAUUUUAAUUUAAAUAUCUAAUUUUAAAUUUAAGACCAAAUUUAAAUUUGAAAGAUAUAAAAUAUCAAAUUUAAAAUUUAAAAACUAAAAAUAUCAUAUUUAAAAUUUUAAAAUUUAAAAAUAUCAAAUUUAAAAUUUAAACUUUAAAAUUUAUAAUUUAAAAUUAUAAAUUUUAAAUUUUAAAAAUAAAAAUCUCUCUCUCUCUCUCUCUCGUACCGUGGGGUGGAACAAGUUGUUGUUCCACCCCUAGGUGGGAACACUUGUUCCCACUCUAUACCCGAUUGUAUCGGAUAGGUGGGAACAAGUGUUCCCAGCCCUCAAUUUUUUCGUUUGGGUACAAGAGUGGGGAUAAUCCUUUUAUCCCCCCUCUUAUAUAUCCAAUCCGAACGGGGUGUAAAAGACCAAUGAAUGAUAGGAGUGUGAAUAGGUAUUUUAGGUAUGUUUGUGAUUAAUUAAUCAAUUCAACAAGAUUAUAAAUUAAAAGUGUGUUAAUAAAGAAAAAAGAAAUUAGUUUAAGAGGUCAAUUCAAAAUAGCGUGGCGUAAUAAAGGGACGUACGUACGGCCUGGGUACAUUUUUACCAGUAAUUUAUUUAUAUAGAAAAAGAGUUCUAGUAUAAAACUUGACAUUGAAAAAAAAAAAAAAAGAAAAAGAAAAAGAAAAGAAGAACUAAGAAAUUUAAGCUAAUGUGCUUUUAGAAGACACAAGUCAUAUAUUUAUCAUAACAUGAAUCAUUAACUAUGACACUCUUAAUUUCCAAAUUUAAGAUACAAACAAAAGAAUUAAUACACAUACUAUUUUUUUCUUUUGUUUUUGUUUUUUUUUUUUUUCCUGUGCGCACUUGCCGUGCAUAUUGAAGAUCUAAUAAAUCCAAACAACCUUACAAAUAAACAAUCUUCACACAGGAAUGAAUACGCNAGAUUCGCUAAUCUAAAGCUGUGCAGUUAAAGAUAUACAAUUCGAAACAUAUAUAAACUCAACUAAAUUUAUAUUAUUUUAAUUAAACUGCUAGCCGAAUUAAUCCCAUAUAUUAAUCCCUGACGUUUUAAGUUUUGAAACCACUUAAUCUUCACAUACUGGAUAAAAGAUGGGCGGUCCAUAGCUAAAUUGGUGGUCUAAAUCCAUGCUAUAUAUGUAUGUUCUAUGUUAAAUGACCUGGUUAUAUAUAUAUAUACACGAGCUAUUACUCAUUUUCCAAGCCAUCCUUCACAAGUCAACUUAACCAAUAAAUAAAUUAAUAAAAAUGCUUUAAUAUUAGAAAAAACGACUAACUCGCACAAAUCCUGAUAUUAAAAAAUAAUUUGGACGACGCAGCUCAAUCUCAAAGGCUAUUACUUUGUCCUGAUUGAGACAAAAACAAUUAAUUUUUUGGACAAGUUGGAGUUCUUCUAGUUUAUUAUAGUUGGAACUGUCAAUUGUAGGGAGUUGUCUCCAGCUAAUCAAAGUUCUUUGUUCCGUAUGCUACUGCCACACGAAAUCUGGCGGCGGCGGCGGCGGCGGCGGCGGCGGCGGAGGAGAUAAACAAAGCUGCAGGCGGUGUCGAGAGGAUGGACCUCUCUCUCGAAAUUCAACCGCAAAGUCCACGAUCAUCCCCAGCCCAAGGCCUAAAGGCUGACCGAAAAGCCUAAGAAUCAAAGAGCUUCUGAGCUUACAUAAUAAAAGGUUCUUAAGACUUCGUUUGGUUCGGAUAUAAACAAAAAUUAGUUAUAUCGGGGAUAGGUACAAGUAUAGAUUUUCGUAGAAACAAGAAUAUUUUUUUAUUUGGAUGAAAAUAUGAGUAUAAGGUAGAAUAGUUGGUAGUUAUAAAUAGAAAAUAAUGAUAUUACCUCUAUAAUUGAAUUUAAAUUUUUAAACUGAAAAUUUUAAAUUAAAAAUUUUAACUUUUACAUUUUAAAUUUUGAAAUUAAAUUUAAAAUUUUAAUUUUCAAAAUUU
rnacentral:lncRNA from 1 species